rnacentral:rRNA from 1 species
CAAGUCGAACGAUUAAACUUUCCUUCGGGGAAGAUAUAAAGUGGCGCACGGGUGAGUAACACGUAAGUAAUCUGCCUUUGAGUGGGGAAUAACAUCGGGAAACCGAUGCUAAUACCGCAUAACGCAGCGGCACCGCAAGGUGACAGUUGUUAAAGGAGCAAUCCGCUUGAAGAGGAGCUUGCGGCAGAUUAGCUAGUUGGUAAGGUAAUGGCUUACCAAGGCUACGAUCUGUAACCGGUCUAAGAGGACGGUCGGUCACACUGACACUGAAUAACGGGUCAGACUCCUACGGGAGGCAGCAGUCGGGAAUUUUGGGCAAUGGGCGAAAGCCUGACCCAGCAACGCCGCGUGAAGGAUGAAGUAUUUCGGUAUGUAAACUUCGAAAGAAUGGGAAGAAUAAAUGACGGUACCAUUUAUAAGGUCCGGCUAACUACGUGCCAGCAGCCGCGGUAAUACGUAGGGACCAAGCGUUGUUCGGAUUUACUGGGCGUAAAGGGCGCGUAGGCGGCAUGUUAAGUCAGCUGUGAAAUCUCCGAGCUUAACUCGGAACUGUCAGCUGAUACUGAUGUGCUAGAGUGCAGAAGGGGCAAUCGGAAUUCUUGGUGUAGCGGUGAAAUGCGUAGAUAUCAAGAGGAACACCUGAGGUGAAGACGGGUUGCUGGGCUGACACUGACGCUGACAGCGCGAAAGCCAGGGGAGCAAACGGGAUUAGAUACCCCGGUAGUCCUGGCCCUAAACGAUGAAUACUUGGUGUCUGGAGUUUUUAUUGCUCUGGGUGCCGUC